UACAGAGGUCUCAAGCGUUUGUUCGGAUUCAUUGGGCGUAAAGGGUGCGUAGGCGGCGCGGUAAGUCGGGUGUGAAAAUCUCGGAGCUUAACUCCGAAACUGCAUUCGAUACUGCCGUGCUUGAGGACUGGAGAGGAGACUGGAAUUUACGGUGUAGCGGUGAAAUGCGUAGAUAUCGUAAGGAAGACCAGUGGCGAAGGCGGGUCUCUGGACAGUUCCUGACGCUGAGGCACGAAGGUCAGGGGAGCAAACGGG
rnacentral:rRNA from 1 species